AUCCUGCCAUUAACAUAUGCUUGUCUCAAAAAUUACCCCUUGCAGGUCUAAUUGCACACGGACGGUACAGUGAAACUGCAAAUGGCUCAUUAAAUCAUUUAUGGUUCCUUUGAUCCCUCCACACUUUACUCGAAUAACUGUGGUAAUUCCAAAGCUAAUACAUGCAAACAAGCGCUGACCCUCCUCUCCCUCACAAGGGGAGUGGGGGGAAUGCGUGCAUUUAUCAAACCCAAAACCCAUCCGGGGGGUCUUGGGCCCCCCGGCCGCUUUGGUGACUCUAAAUAACCUCGGGCCAAUCGCGCGCCCUCCGCGGCGGCAACUUCUCAUUCAAAUGUCUGCCCUAUCAACUUUCAAUGGUACUAUAGGCCCCUACCAUGGUAACCACGGGUAACGGGAAAUCAGGGUUCAAUUCCGGAAAGGGAGCCUGAAAAACGGCUACCACAUCCAAGGAAGGCAGCAGGCGCGCAAAUUACCCAUUCCCAACACGGGGAGGUAGUGACAAAAAAUAACAAUACAGGUCUCUUUCAAGGCCCUGUAAUCGAAAUGACCGUAUCCUAAACCCAUGGGUGAGGACCCAUUG
rnacentral:rRNA from 1 species